CUGGCGGGGAGAGUGGCGCACGGGUGAGUAACACAUGGCUGACCUGCCCCUCAGCGGGGGACAACCACUAGAAAUGGUGGCUAAUACCCCAUAUGCUCACGAUGUUUAGAAGGUUGUGAGGAAACUUCCGGGGCUGAGGGAGGGGGCUGUGGCCCAUCAGCUAGUUGGUGUGGUAACGGCGCACCAAGGCGAGGACGGGUAGGGGGCCUGAGAGGGUGACCCCCCACACGGGUACUGAGACACGGACCCG
rnacentral:rRNA from 1 species